rnacentral:rRNA from 1 species
GACGUAGGAGGCGAGCGUUGUCCGGAUUCAUUGGGCGUAAAGCGUGCGCAGGCGGUGAUGUAAGACAGUUGUGAAAUCCCCGGGCUCAACCUGGGAACUGCAUCUGUGACUGCAUCGCUGGAGUGCGGCAGAGGGGGAUGGAAUUCCGCGUGUAGCAGUGAAAUGCGUAGAUAUGCGGAGGAACACCGAUGGCGAAGGCAAUCCCCUGGGCCUGCACUGACGCUCAUGCACGAAAGCGUGGGGAGCAAACAGG